CGGCCGGGCAGAGGCGCUCCCCACAUCCCAGACGACGGGCAGCCGGGCAGAGAUGCUCCUCACCUCCCAGACCGGAUGGCGGCGACACACGGAGUUAAAUGCUGGGAUAAGUCAGACCUUAUCUGCACUUCUGUCUAGGUCCUAGGCUCUACACCUAGUGCAUAAUUAAAAUCCCAAGCUUGGCCAGGAACAGUGGCUCAUGUCUGUAAUCCCAGCACUUUGGGAGGCCAAGUCGGGAGGAUCACCUGAGGUCAGGAGUUCGAGAUCAGCCUGGCCAACAUGGUGAAACCCCGUCUCUAUUAAAAAUACAAAAAUUAGCCAGGAAUGGUGGCGCUCGCCUGUAAUCCCAGCUACUCGGGAGGCUGAGGCAGGAGAAUCGCUUGAACCCAGGAAGUGGAGGUUGCAGUGAGUCAAGAUUGCACCAUUGCACUCCAGCCUAGGUGGCAAGAGUGAAACUCCAUCUCAAAAAUAAAUAAAUAAAAAUAAAAUAAAAUCCCAAACUCACCAACAAAAGUAAAGGUUGCUAAAAGUUAAGUGUAACAUGUAUUUAAGACUAUUAAAAAAAGUUUACAUAUAGUUUUGGUAAAAAGAUUAUAAGGAGGCAUGAAAAUGUAAUGUGGUUUUUUACCUAGAUUAAAAGGUUAAAGAAUUGUUUUUAGUUGAAUAAAAUAAAAAUGAAGGUUUAAGCAAUUUUUGGAAGGUUAAUUGUAAAGGAAAUUCUGUGUGUAAACAUAUUGGCUAAAGUUGAAGGGGUAUCAUCCAGUUUUUCUGUAAAUUGAGCAUUAAAAUAAAAGCACAACAGGUUUCUCUUAAAGCACUAACCUGCUCUUAGCAAAAAUUAUAAUGGGUCUAUAGACUAUUUUUAAAGAUUUUUAUAAAAAUCUUUACUUUAUGGUCAAACAUUAAAAUUCGGUAAAUUUGUCUACAAGGUUUUAUUAAAAAUUGAGCUUAACAUUAAUAGCACUAAUAUAAUGGUAAAAUUUGGUAUAAAAUCAUACAGGAAGCAAUGUCAAAUAGAAAAUGGUGUUUGGCUUUCUUUGGACUAUAUUUGUAUAAAUAUGUUAUUGGUAUGUGUUCCAAAGUUAUGGGAGACUCCUAUAAUUCUGAUAUAUCUUAGUGUAUGUUAUCAGUAGUAAUUAUAAUUGUUAUGUUAAAACUAUUGUGUGCCACAAAGGUAACAGAUAUCCUUGUCAAUUGUGACUUUAACUAUGGCUACCCUAAAACUUUUUGUCAUCCAUAAACAAUUGUUGUCUUGUUUUGGUCCUCUUUAGAAGGUAGUCUUAUAAUCAGCUAUAAAGCUCUAACAGGUGCUCUUGAAUGCAGCUUUUUGAUAACUUUGGAGAUUGUGACAUCAGAAUAGAGGAAAAACGUUCAGGACUCUCGAAGAGCUAAAACGUUCAUUAAUAUCAAGCAGGACAGAAAUUAACUGCAUUAACUGAACUAAUAGGAGACUGAAGUGAUCUUUUUGACGUUUUGCUGAAAAUAUUGCUAAUCCUUUGUUUUGCUUUUCAAAGUCAAAGAAACUUUUCUUUUGAGCUAUUGACAGCUUUUAACAAUUUAGUAUACUCCCAUGAACAAAAUUUGGAGCAUACUUGUUUCUCUCUACCUGAUUUUCUCCAGAAUUUGGAAACUGUGAGUAUUCUUAAGUUGUGGCAAUAUAGUUAUUUGCAUAAGUGCAAUAAGAAUCUGUUUUCUUUUGUAACAGGACACAAUUGGAAAAACUGGUUAUUUUACCAAGGCUUUGGCUGGAAUGGUGUGCUUUCCUUUAAGGAAUCAAACCUGACUUAUGAAGCCAAGAAAGCUCUUGGGAAAUUGGCCUCACGUUUUGUGUACACAGUCCCUGUACAGGGUUUCUGAUCUGUGGAUCAUGGCCAUUUCACAGACAACUACCCAAAAACAUCUACAGACGACAUUACUCCUACAGUCAAUCUGAGACCAGAAAACUCUCUGUCCUCCCAUCAGCAGGAAGUAGCUAGAAAGAACAUGCCACCUCUCUUCCUUUUUAUAACUAUAGGGUCUGGAUUGACAGAGCAGGAGCAUCACCAUCUUGGACAAGCACCACCAUUUUUAAGUUCACCUUGAUCAAAAGCCGCCUAAAUCCAAAGGGCAUCAGCCUAAUGGCUAAGGUCAGCAUGACCAUAAACCACAAAUGACAUCUCCGACCAGAAACAUUCCAACCAUAAGAUAAAUCCCUCCCCGACCAGAGACAUGCCAGCCCUGAGAUAACCUCUCCUCCGACCAGAGACACUCCAACCCGCAAUAAAUUUCUCCCCCACACACAGAAACAUUCCAAGCCUGUGAUAAGCUUUCUCACCCUAAAACCAAUACUCUUAGUCUGUAAGAGAGAGCACUCCUGACAGAAAUUGGCCAGAAGCCCCUCUCAGGUUUAUUCUCCAAAAUAAACCUGACUUUAACUGUUGAGCCAUUUUUCGUGUUUCUUUCCUCUUUCUUUAAUUCUUACACUGAGGACUAAAGAAGAGAUGGCUGUCCAAGUCCACCUGGAGCCCUGAUAGCUGUCCAGCCUGUGUGCAUCACACUGCAGGCCCUGUCUGGGGUCAGUCUGAGGAUAGCUUCCCCCAAUGGUGACCCCAGGCUUUUUCACUGUGGUGGGUCCAUUUUACUACUGUUACAGGACUUCCUCUUCUCCCUGGCUGUGGACCCAUUUCCAGCUAUCACCUUUGACAAAUUGGCAAAUUCUUAAGUAACCUGAAUCUCCUCUGUAUUUGGUCAUUCCAGCUACUCCCAGUGCCCAGUAUACCCACCUCUGGCACUGGUCUUGCGGGGCCAAAGGACAAACUCUUUUUACCUUUCACCAUCAAGCCCCUGUCUACUCGUCCCUUAUGGGAGAAGCUUCAAGUGGUCCACAUGGGACCAGAUUCAGCCAACAGAUUCUAGUGCCAUAACUGAGUUUUCUGAAAGUUGUUCCUGAAAGACUGAUUAAGCUACCUUUGCAUCUUGGCCCAGUUAAAACAGCAAUUCCUACCAAGAGGAGUGCUCAGGUAAGAAGAAAGUAGAACAAUUUGAGCCACCCCAAAAAGGUGGUGAUGCCAGUUAGCAACUGCUUGACUCUAGAGAAAUGAGACCAUGUCUUAUUCCUUGCUCUGCUCCCAGAGCCUUGCGCAGGCCUGGCUCAGAGUAGGCACCAUUCAUUGACUGAAUGAACUAUUCCCAUGAGUGCUGGGAGUGUUUUCCCACCCAAAUGAUCAGUAACCCUUCCUCUUCUUCAAAUUCAGCCUUUGCUGUUGCUCAAUAAAUGUAUGUUGAAAGGAAAAAGAUGAGGGGUCAGCUCUUCAGAGGACUGAAGAAGUGAGAACAAAAUAUCCAGGCUUGUCAUAAUCUCAAGGAAAAAGCAAGUGGUGUCACUUGCUCAAGGAUGAGGAUUAAGCAAUAGGUGUGUGGAGUUGGGUCCUCAAUCGUGGGGAAGGUUCUAAACAGAUUGCCCUAGGAUCUCAGUGAGGCGUGAAGCUUAUUCAAGUUCUCACCUGCUAUUUUCCCUGUCUUCAAAACACUCCUCUAGGCUGGGCACAGUGGCUCACACCCGUAUUCCCAGCACUUUGGGAAGCCGAGGUGGAUGGAUCACUUGAACCCAGGAAUUUGAGACCAGCCUGGCCGACAUGGAGAAACCCUGUCUCUACUAAAAAUACAAAAAAAAAUUAGCCAGGCAUGGUGGUGCAUGCCUGUAGUCCCAGCUACUCAGGAGGCUGAGGAAGGAGAAUCUCUUGAACUCAGGAGGCAGAGAUUGCAGUGAGCCAAGAUCACACCUCUGCACUCCAGCCUGGGCAAUAGGGCAAGACUGUUUCACACAUACACACACACACACACACACACACACACACACACAGACACACACACACACACACAAAAGACUCCUCCACUCACCUGUGCUUCUUUUCUCUUUUACCCUUCCGCCUCUGGUUAAAUGUUAGUUCCUCAAGGAGACCUUUCCUAGCCACCAGACUAGGUCAGAGUCCUCUUUUCGUGCCCUGACAGCCAGCAUCCAGUACCUUCCAGUCACAACGCUGAUCAGAGUUUGUAACUGCAUAUUACUCUGUGUAUGUUUGUUUGCUGUCUGUUUCCCCUGUUCCCUGAAAGGCAGUGCCACUCCUGUUUUGCUCUCCAUUGUAUCCCCAGCACAGGGGCUGGCUCAUAGUUGAUAUUCAAAAACCAUCUGAUGGAGAAAGGAAUGAAUGAAUUGUAUUCUAUCAUUUAAUGCUCAGAACAAUCUUGGGUCUUCAGUGUUGUAUUUGUCUCCCUUUCACAUGAGGAAAGUGAAAAUUAGAACUCUAGGGGGACACAGAGGGGACUGGAAUCAGUUCUACUGGAUCAACAGCCCACAUCUGCCCUGCUGCCUGGGUGAAGCGGAGGGUCCAGGUUAGUGAGAAUGGGAGAGAUGCAGGGGAGACAGGAAGACAGUCAGGAAGGGCCAGGGCCAAGUCCGGAACAGUGAGGAAGGGAAAGAAGUCCAGGAUGCUGCCCAGCUGACUUCAGCCUGACCCUGGGAGUCAAGAAGGAUGGGUGAAUGGGUGUAUGUCAUUGACGUGGAGCAGGGCAAAGGGGGUGCAGACUCGACGGGCUGUGGAUUUCUUCUCAAUUAUCUUCUGAAUUAUCUUGAUGUCUUCAAGAGGCAGUGCAAUCCUAGUUAAAAGAUGAAUUCCAGAGGCUGGCUCUGCUUCUGCUCUCAACCUGCUGUGUGAACUUAAACAAGUGAUUAAACAUCUCUGUGCCU
rnacentral:lncRNA from 1 species